rnacentral:rRNA from 1 species
UCCUACGGGAGGCAGCAGUGGGGAAUCUUGCACAAUGGAGGAAACUCUGAUGCAGCGACGCCGCGUGAGUGAUGAAGCCCUUCGGGGUGUAAAGCUCUUUCGACAGGAACGAUAAUGACGGUACCUGAAGAAGAAGCUGCGGCUAACUACGUGCCAGCAGCCGCGGUAAUACGUAGGCAGCAAGCGUUGUUCGGAAUUACUGGGCGUAAAGAGUGUGUAGGCGGUGCUCUAAGUUUGGUGUGAAAUCUCCCGGCUCAACCGGGAGGCUGCAUCGAAUACUGGAAUGCUAGAGGAUUGGAGAGGUAAGCGGAAUUCCUGGUGUAGCGGUGAAAUGCGUAGAUAUCAGGAGGAACACCUGUGGUGUAGACAGCUUACUGGACAAUUUCUGACGCUGAGACACGAAAGCGUGGGUAGCAAACAGGAUUAGAUACCCUGGUAGUCCACGCCCUAAACGAUGCAUACUUGGUGUGGGCCAUUCAUUUGGUCUGUGCCGGAGCUAACGCGUAA